UCAUUUUUGUGUUUGGUGCAAUUUUGUUGACAUAAUUGCAUAGUCACAAAAGUGAUG
rnacentral:pre_miRNA from 1 species